rnacentral:rRNA from 1 species
CAUUAGUGGCGACAAAAUUCUGUGCCAGCAGUCGCGGUAAGACAGCGGACGCAAGAGUUACUCUUUUUAGUUGAGUUUAUUACGUCAGAUAUAUGUCAGAAUUGAAGAAUGUAUAAAAAAUAUUUAGGAUAUUAUUUCAUUCUUAUGUUUUUGUUGAUAUUAUUUAGGAGUGCAAUUGAUCAAUUAUUUGGGUAGAACGAAAUUUAAUUUGGCGUGAGAAACCCCCAACAGAUAUGGUCAAACCAGUAGAGAAGUUGUUGUACUAUUUAUAAUAAGUAUAUUAUGACUAAAGUUAAAGGUGUUCUUCUGUAUCUUAUUAUGUUACGGAGGGAUACCUUUUGGAUAUCGACGUGGAUUAGAUACCCAUUUAGACCUAACAUUGACUUAUAUUUCUUUAAUGUAGUUGUUUGUUUAUUUUACAGUUAUGUGAAAACAUAAAAGAAAUUACUCGGGGACAAUGUUGGCAACAAUUCAACUCAAAGAAGUAGUCGGACAGUAGAACAUGCAACCAAUGGAGCAUCGUGAUUAAUUGAUUAAUCCGUCCUGAAUCUUACCAGGUUAUUAUAAAUAU